rnacentral:rRNA from 1 species
GUCCACGCCCUAAACGAUGUCAACUGGUUGUUGGGAGGGUUUCUUCUCAGUAACGAAGCUAACGCGUGAAGUUGACCGCCUGGGAGUACGGCCGCAAGGUUGAAACUCAAAGGAAUUGACGGGACCCGCACAAGCGGUGGAUGAUGUGGUUUAAUUCGAUGCAACGCGAAAACCUUACCUACCCUUGACAUGUCAGAGAUCCUGUAGAGAUGUGGAAGUGCUCGAAAGAGAACCAGAACACAGGUGCUGCAUGGCCGUCGU